CCCUUGGUAUGUGGACGCUGGGAAUCGAACCCAGGUCCUCUUGAAGAGCACCCAGUGCUCUUAAUUACUACUAUCCAGAAGCCUAAAAAGUUCUCUCUACAAAAAACGAACUUUCUACCACAGAUUCAGGGUUUGGCUUUAGCUGAGAAUAAAAAGAGUGACAAUCCAGUGUGAGGGGAGAGUCCUAGUCAGCCACCGCACAACUUUUCUGAAACGCCUAUCCGGAGGAAGCUGAUGCGCCUGGCGCAGGCGCGCCGGAGCAGACUCUAUGCCCCGAGCUCGAAGCUGUGAGACCAUCCGCAGGACGAGGAGCUCCCGGGCAACUCCGGGGGCGGGGCCAGAGACCACCUGUGUGCGGGGCGGAAAGAGAGUGGCUGGGGCUCGCGCGGUGGGCGGGGCGCCGGCGGAGCCUCCUGCCGCGAGCUGCAGGUCGGCUGUUGGUCUCUGAGCGGCCGGCAACGGUUUUUCUGUUUCUCUCAGGACGUCCUGUCUGGUCGCGGCGCGAUGCCUCUCGAUCCUCGGGUGGCCAUGGGGGACGCUGGCAAUCAGGACAUCUUGGCUGUCUUCAACCGCCUGCGCUUGGUGCUUAGUAACCAAGUAGCAGCCGCCUGGCGAGCUCGGGACCGCGCGGCGGGCGUGGGAGGCGAAGCCGCCCAGUUCGUAAACGGUCGAAUUCGCCCACGCGGGAUCUGAGUGACUUCUCCGACCGACCGUGCUUGCCCACGCCACAGAAUGUCUGGUGUGGGAUAUGACUGAAAAUAUUAUUUAGUUGUGCAAGAAGAAAUGGUACUUAUAUACAAAAGAAAGACAUGAUUUUUUGGUUUUAAGUAAAUACAACAUACAUCCUACAAGUCUGGACUUUUAGAUCUUCCUGAUGGAAGACCACCAUGAUACCAUUACUCUCCCAAUAAUUAAAUGAGGUGCCAAUGAUGAAACAUGGUCACAAUUAGCGCCCUUACAAGACUCCUUCCCAGAUAUCUGACCAGGACCAAGACUGGAAUUUCUCAUCUAUGGUACUUAACAGUGGAGUAUUCUCCCAUACCUGAUUCUGGUUCUGUUGAGAGGACCUACUUAAGUGACUUUCUCCAGCUCAUUGAAAGCAGCAGAACAAAAGCCUCAUCCAGGCCAUGGAAGCUGGACCACAUGCCUGUGAAGAAAGCAUUGCAAAUCUCAUCUUUGGAAGUGUUUUUCUUAGCAUGCCAUGGUAUGUUUUGAGUACAGUGCCAAAAAUCACAACUGGGCAAGCAUAACCUACAGGAUGUUUCUUUUUAUCACUUGCUCAGGGUCACUUUGUGUCUACUAGAGUUUUAUCUGGAUGGAACACUGCAUUGGAGUGCUGUUCUCUGAGUGAUAAUCGGUUUAGUGGUGUGCCGCUGACAAGGGACAAACCAACCCAAGGAUACUUUUAGAUCACACUGCAAGAGCAAUGGAAAAAGGGUCCAGUGAUCAAUAGUCUGUGGCUUUGUAUCCAACUCCAGGAAGUCAGUGUGUUGAUGGUCCCAUGGAGAUAAGAGGCAGUUCCUUUCAUAGCUGGGAUGACAGUGUUGAUUCCUACUGGGAGAAGGACAGCAGCAGAGACGACUAGACCACUGUGAAAAAGCACAGGCUCUUCAGACAAAUGUGAGCUGCAAGACCAAGAAGUCAGAGCUACAGGCUGGAUUGCCUUCUGUACCUCCUUUCUGGCACUCACUUCACAGCCACAGUGGCUGGCAGGUCGUCAUCAGUGUUACAGAGGCAGGUGGGGCCAGGAUAUAAGUGGGCCAGCCUUGCAGGGCUGUUAUGGGCUACAGCCAGGCAGGGCUCGACAGGAGCCAUCAGCAGCUUUGAUGUUCUGCUCCAGCUCUCGGUAAAUGGUUUUGUACCUAAAUCAGAGACAGAAGGAUAGCUCUACAAAAGGCAGGGCCCAGCCAUCAUUCCUCACAGCCACAAGAGACCCUGCAUGAUCGUCUCUGUAGUCUGCAGGAAUCUUAUCUCCCAGACAUAGAUCAGGAACACCAUUCCCGGGCCGUCACACGUACAGAUGCACACACCAUCCUUAGAACCUGGCACCACCGACAAAUAAGCUUCACAUAACCAGGCGGCACACUGAGCUUGCCCUGCAUCGCAUCUUGGGUGUGCUCCGUGGCACAACUGUGCAGUCCCACUGGGUCAGGUCAUGUUGAGGAAGAAGUCAUUAGACGAGAAUGUCGGGAGAGCUGCAGGUUUCCUCCCCAAGUGAAAGGCACUAUAGGAGGAAGGCAGAACUAUGAGACAGUCCAGCCUCCUGUAGCCAAGAACACGGUCUUGACUAGACCUGAGGGAUCACUUAUUAUCUACAUAGACAGUUUUUUACUUUUUCUAAGCCUCACUUUCUGUCAAUGCGGAAUGGGCAUAAGACCUAUUCUAUCUAAGGAUUGGAUUGUGUUCUCCAACUACAAUAGCUGAAGCCCCAACCCCACCCAGGAGGUGACCUUGUCUUUCAGAGGUGAACAACUUAAAACAGGGUCUGUAAAGUGUCCCCAAUGCAGCAGGGCUGCUGUCCCUACAUAAAGGAGGAGACAUCUACACUAGACAGUCAGGGGAAGAUGGCCAGAGGACUGGACAGACGUGCUCAGAUGUCCGGGAAGCCGAGGACUGGCAGACCCCACACGCUAGAAGAGGCAGGAAGGACCUGCCUGGAGCCUUCAGGAGGAGUGUGGCCAUACCUUGGUUUGUGAUUUCUGUCCUAGAACUUAGUGAUGAGCUUCCCUUGUUGUCUGCCAUGCCACCCUAGGAGCGACCACACCAUGUGCCACCCUCCCUCUGCGUGUCCCCACCCCCACCUCAGGUGGCUUGGAACAUAGGGGUAGACUGUGCUCAUUCAGGCCUUUGCCACAGCCAAGUACAAACAUCGUGGAAGGUACCUCUUACACAGAAGAGCAGGACACAGUCCUAGCCCUGUCCCGUUUCCUGUACCCUAAAAGCUGUGUAGCGACUCAGUUUCCUCAUCAGCAGGAUGGGGACAAUCCUGCCUUCUUUCUAGGCUGUCACAGAGAGGAAAUGACAGCAGAGCAGCUGUGCAGUGACUACUUUCCAUCUUUUUCAAAGAGACAAAAGGGAUGCCAUUUUCUCCUGACAGCAAGCUUUGACCUGACAUCCAUUUCUCAAAGGAAGAUCCUUCAGAUGUAUGAAGAAAGUAGAUUUCUAUCUCUGUCCUGUUAUCUGGGUCUCCCCUGAUGCAGGUACACUGUGUUACAAUCAAACUAGCAUCUUGCUGUUCUGGCUUCCCCAGGACCUACAGUCACCAAGAUUCCAAUGGUUGAACUGGCAGCAGGAAUGAGAAGACUUCUACAAGGGACUGUCCUUGGGGGCAGAAGACAUGAGGCCUGGCCAGUGCUGUGUCAGCCCAGGUGGAUUUCCAGAAUGCUGGCUCUGGCAGCAUCAAGCCCACCAUGCCUGCCCUGCUCCAGCCUUCUAUGGCAGUGCUGUAUGCUGGCUCUGCAAACAGGCCCUCUGGGUGACUGCCCUGUCCCCCAAGGUGGACAUGCAGCACCUGAGUCUAUUCAAUACCAGCCUCCCUGUAAGUCACAAUGAUGGGUUUUUUGUCUCAGACUUACCUAGCCACAUUGGACAGGUCCAGGUGCUUCUGAACCUCCAGCAGAACCUCCCGGAAGAAGCGCAAGCGCUUCUCUUCAAACUGCUGGCACUGCUCGAACACCUGCUCCAUGUUCUCCAUGUACUGGGGUGUGGUCUGAUCAAGCUCCUUCAGGGCCUUCUCAUACUUGUCCUUGGUCUGUGUUGAAAUUGGCACAGGCAGAGGAUAGUUUCCAUCCCACCUCUGUUUACCCCAUGUGCCCCACUGCUGCUCGGGCCUCCCCAGAUUCCAAAUGUGGGAGCAAGAGUUCCAGAGUCUAGCAUUCUCCAAGUCCAGUCCCUGUGUUUCUUCAUGGCAAGUCACACUCUGUACCUGCUCUCACACUCACUGAUAGGAGGCCCAAUCAGGUAAGAUAUAGGCAGGAGAUAGUCACAUCAACAUUCAGUGUCCUGGAUCCCAAACAUAUGUCUACAUUGGUGGCACAGUUGUGAGCAUAGCUGCCUUCUUUGUUCAUUACAUGCCUGUGUUCAUUUUGUCAGUGGGGAGUGCUAUGCUGUGUAACACUCUAGCCUAGAUCUAGCCCCAGUAGCUGUGGCAUGUGAGGCACCUUGGAGACAAGGUCAUUGUCUUAAGUGCCAAAUGGUCCUGGGCCUCACCCUUUAUCAGGCAAUGAGAAUACUUUCUGCUUCAUAGUAUUUUGAGACUUAAAGGACUGACACAAAGCUAUGUGGAUUAGACAUUCCUAAAGUCUGUCCAAUCAGCCUUUUUUUCAAGGCUAUCCAGAGGAAGGGCAUUUAGGUAAAAGGAUAAAUUAAGAGCAAUAUGGUCCAACUUAAGCAAGUCUCUGGGGAGAAUGUAUUAAAUCCCUAGCAUGUGAAAGUGAACACCUGACAUGUGUGCUUGGGCUUGGAGACCACAUUCACCCGGACAUGUGUACCCUACCUUCCAUACCAUGCUAAUCUAAUUCUUUUGUGGUUCCAGACAGUUGAUAGGAGCUUCCUGGAAGUGAGGGGUAGCUUGGUUCUGGAAAUGGCUAUUUAUUGCAGAGCUUUCCAUAUGUGUGUCUAGCAACUGAAGGGUGUUCAUGGAUGCAUGUGAGAAGCACAUGACACUCUUCCAUGCCAAUGCUCAGCAUACCUCACCAGCCUGUGAUUAGCCUUCAGAGUGUCCGUUAGCAGGUGGCCACUUCAGUGUUCCAUCUGUAGCCUCUCAGGUGAAGGUACAGUACAUUCACUUUUCCUUGGUCUCUCUGGAGCUGGCAAGAUUUUCCGGUCGUACACUGUGUGGUGCACUCUUGAGCUUCUACCUAAGUAGAAAGAGUGCUAAGGACCUCAUUGUUCAAAGUGACCUUCAUGACUUCCAUUUCAGAUUGUUUUCUGAGGACUCUAGGCUUUCUGAAAGCUCUGCACUGCUUCAUUUCCUCAAGAUCUCCCAUGGUUGUGCUAAAAAGCUGCCAUUGCUGUCUUGUGUGUGUGUGUACUGUCAGAUGAGAAAGCAGGUGCAAACUAUAGGUAAACUAUCACUACAAGCAUUCAUCAGACUAUAGGUAAACUAUCACUACAAGCACUCAUCAGACUAUAGGUAAACUAUCACUACAAGCAUUCAUCAGACUGUAGGUAAAGUAUCACUACAAGCAUUCAUCAGACUAUAGGUAAACUAUCACUACAAGCACUCAUCAAACUAUAGGUAAACUAUCACUACAAGCACUCAUCAAACUAUAGGUAAACUAUCACUACAAGCACUCAUCAAACUAUAGGUAAACUAUCACUACAAGCACUCAUCAAACUAUAGGUAAACUAUCACUACAAGCACUCAUCAGAAAAGGACCUCACUGGGUCAUUCUUGACAGCUAAUUUCUAACUGAUUCAUAAUACUGCUUUUGAAUAGUUUCCUUGUUACUUAAAAAGCAAAGGACCUCAUUCCACAGGUACUUGCCAAGUAACUGUCAUCUGCCAGACACUCCUGGAAGUGGCUAGCCUGCCCCUUGUUGCUUUAGAGGCCAUUGCAGCCUCCAUGUUUACCCUGUGUUGCCAGACAACAAGCUUCCCUGCUGUUACCAACAGAGAGGUCUACAGACUGAGUCUCUGCAUACAACUCCAGGCCAGGUACUGACAGACCAGCUGGUAGGUUAAAGAGUGAUGCCAGCUAGCAAAAUGCAGGGCUAAGAGAGCUGAUAUCUCAUGUUGACAUAGAGGACAGGAACGGCUUCCCUUAGUUGGUAAAAUUGAACUAAAGCCUUCUGUUUCAUGUCAGCACAUAAAAGAACAUUACUACUUUCUAGUUAUUCCCACCUAUCUAAUUCUAGGCCCCAUGCUUGUUUUUUCAGCCUUUAAAUUUGCCUAUUCCCUAGCAAAUAGGAAUAACUGUCCCCAUUUCACAGAUGAGGAAACUGAAGCUUAGGGCAGUCACUGCAUCUGCCAGUGUCCUACAGCUCAGUAGCAGGGCUGGAGCUGAAAGUAGUUCUUUGGGGACAGUCUGGAUAGCAAAACCUGAUUCGUACACAGCAGUCCAGAGCUGCUAACAAGAAGAAAGCUACACUUUGACCUUCAAAAAAUCUCUCAGCCAGUUGCUGACAUCUUUGAUGGCCACAAAAGGAUCUUAGAGGAUCUGAAGAAAUCAACCAGUCCUGGUAAUAGUUGGUGCAAAUUUGCCUUGUGGCUGCCUGAACCUUUGCUUUAAUUUCAGCCAAUAGGCUCUUCCUUGACAGUCUAUAGUGUGUACCCACCAUAAUGCAACCUCUGCUUGUCCUGUAUUCUAGAGUGUUCAUCUGCUGUCAGAAGGACUGCAGACUGGCUGCAGCGCUGUAACAGUCUGUAGGCUUUGUCUUUUGUUCUGCUGACUCGGUACUCUAUUCCAGUAGACGUUGGCUCUUGGAGCUUUAAUUUGAGCUGCUCUGGUGACUCAUGCCUGCAAUCCUAGCACUCAGGAGGCAGAAGUAGCAUUGACAGGUCGAGGCCAACCUGAGCUACAUAGUGAGUUCCAGACCAGCUUGAGCUACAAAGUGAUACCUUGACUCCAAAAAUAUAAAGAAAAGGAAAAAAGACUUUAGGUAGGACUGCCACUCAACUGCACUGUGUCUUGUACAUGUUCAAAAACCCUCUGGGCUCUGUUUUGGUUUCUGAUACUCUGAAUUUGGCACAGCUUUUGUGAGCACCUAUUCCGGUUCUCACACCUUGUCUGCAGGUCCUGUGCCUAUUACUGUUAUUAGCACUUCCAGGGAUGCCAUGAAAAGCAGCUCUGAGAGCCCUGAGGUUCUAGUUGCUUCUUAUGGUCACAAGUUACCUCUUUUUCGGUCUCCUGUUUAAAAGAGUAGGCCUGGGAAUCACCCCACAGGUGUCUAAUUGAGGUUCAUUUAGAUCCAAGAGAUUCAAGAAAAAGGACAACUUGCCUCAAUGCCUGACAUCAGUAUGAAUUAGAAGACCAAUUGGCUGGACAAUGGGUUUGCUUGAUGUAAAAGAAAGAAAAGAGACUCCUCUAAUCUUUUUAUACUAGGACCUUCAUCUGAGAGAUUCCUAACUAAGCCCCUAGGCCUACAGACUCUGUGAUCCAGACAGCUGAGGGAAGACACACAAGUGUCAGGGAGAACCUCAGACCCUACGCAGAGGGGAGAAAGGAUAGAUAAAAGCCAGUACCUUGUGGCAACCAUCUCAGGGUAAUUCAAAAUAUGAUCCAAAUCUAACAAGAACCAAGGCACCUGAAUGAGAGAACAUAUUUGACCAAAAGGAAGGGUACUAGGAAAUGACUGCUUUGUAAAGGGCUGGCCAAACAGCAGCCCCACCCAAGGGCAGCCAUGGUUAGCCCCUGGGUCAAGAAAGCCCAUGAACUUCAGUGUCAUUUUCAGUGGAAUUUUGUGUGACACUUGUGGCUGGUGUUCCCAUUAUCCCAUAUCUUGUGUUAGGGUUUGGGUAUAAAAUAUUAACCCAAAGCACUGAUGGUUGGAGGAUUUGUCAGCUGGCACUGUUAAGGAAUGAUUAGAUCAUAAGGGUGGUGUCACCAAUGGAUUAAUCUGUUAAUUUUUUCCUAUUUGAAUGGGCAGUUAGACCAUGGGGUCUGUUUGUUGGAAGUGGGGACAGUGGAGCAGUGCCCUGAAGAGGUAUAUCUUAUUUCUAAUCCAGUCUCCUAUCAUUAGAUACAUACUCUUGCCAAGUGUUUCUGUGAUGUUCAGUUUUGCCUCAGGUCUACAAUGAUGAGGCCAGAGAACCAUGGACCAAAGCCACAAGUCAAAAUAAGUCUACUCAUUUCAGUUGUAGCAAAAAUUUUUUGGCACAAUAAAUAACACAGGGUAAUCUUUUUCUAUGUAUGUAAAGGUGUAUAUAUCUACAUGUAUACUGUAAGCAUAUUGUGUACAUUGUACCAAAUUGAGUUAGAAAUAAACACUUGUUUAUCAAA